GACGAACGCUGGCGGCGUGCUUAACACAUGCAAGUCGAACGGAAAGGCCCUGCUUUUGUGGGGUGCUCGAGUGGCGAACGGGUGAGUAACACGUGAGUAACCUGCCCUUGACUUUGGGAUAACUUCAGGAAACUGGGGCUAAUACCGGAUAGGAGCUCCUGCUGCAUGGUGGGGGUUGGAAAGUUUCGGCGGUUGGGGAUGGACUCGCGGCUUAUCAGCUUGUUGGUGGGGUAGUGGCUUACCAAGGCUUUGACCGGUAGCCGGCCUGAGAGGGUGACCGGCCACAUUGGGCCUGAGAUGCGGCCCAGACUCCUCCGGGAGGCAGCGGUGGGGAAUAUUGCACAAUGGGCGGAAGCCUGAUGCAGCAACGCAGCGUGCGGGAUGACGGCCUUCGGGUUGUAAACCGCUUUCGCCUGUGACGAAGCGUGAGUGACGGUAAUGGGUAAAGAAGCACCGGCUAACUACGUG
rnacentral:rRNA from 1 species